UACGGAGGGUGCAAGCGUUGUUCGGAUUUAUUGGGCGUAAAGCGCGUGUAGGCGGUUUCUUAAGUCUGAUGUGAAAGCCCUGGGCUCAACCCAGGAAGUGCAUUGGAUACUGGGAGACUUGAAUACGGGAGAGGGUAGUGGAAUUCCUAGUGUAGGAGUGAAAUCCGUAGAUAUUAGGAGGAACACCGGUGGCGAAGGCGGCUACCUGGGCCAAUACUGACGCUGAGGUGCGAAAGCGUGGGGAGCAAACAGG
rnacentral:rRNA from 1 species